UCCUUUAGAAUCGAUUUACAUAUAUAGGCCCGGGGUAUGAAAAUUAUGGGGACCAAAAUCGUACUAGCAUGUCACACGAAAUGCGUUAUGCGCCUGAUUGGCUCCUGAUUGCGUGAUGCGUGCGCGCGCCAAUCAGGAGCCAACGCGCGGCCGCGUUAUCGCAGGUGACGCCGGGCUGCUGCGCCGGCAGUCCGCCACAAAGCCUCGUACUGAUCGCGCGUUUCUCUCAUUAUUGUAUUUUCAUAUAUUUGUUAGUCGUUUGUUUUGUGUCUCGUUAAUUUGUUAAUAAUCUGUAGUGUAUCGUGUUGUCGUAAUAUAGAACUAUUUCUCGUAUUGUUUCGUUUAAUUUUUUAUAUCCAGUAAACUCCAGUCGUGCGUCGGAGCGGACACACACACUUUUUUUUAUUUAUCGUCCUUUAUUCCUUAAAUGUACGUGAAACACUUUUAGGUUCACCGAUGUAUAUAAAAUAUUUCAGUUUCGAAUACAAAGAUUUUAUUUAAAGUAUUUAUUUUUGUGACUUUAAAUAUUUUGUAUUAAAACACAUACCUAGCAUUUGAUAUUAAAAUCAGUACUUACUAAACUUGUCUUUCGCGUUAUAUUUUACACAAUACAUUGAAUUUUUGGUUGCAUAUUGAUAAAUUUCUAAUAAUUUAAUGUACUACAACAAAAUCAGUUAUAUUUUCAAACACUCACCGUAAUCUUCGUAAUUCAUACCUAUUACAAUAACUCUCUCCAAUUUACUAAUGAUUUGUUUAUCACUUUGAACAUGACAAUCUUUUAUGAAAUAACUUGAUGAUGUUUUGUUUAAAAAAAUUGUUGUUAAGCCACGAAUAUGAAUUAUGAUUACGUAGACGGAACAACAAUAUUAAAUUCGUGGUUACAAUAAAAUUUAAUCCCAGUGUUUAUUUCGCGCCAGUUUUUCUAAGCUUUUAACGUUGAGUUUGGCUAAAGAGAAUUUUUUAUACAGCCAUAUUUGGAUUUAAAAAAUUAUUCAUAAAUCAUUAUUAACAAUUUACAAGUUAAAAUAUGAAGAUGAAUGAAGUAUGAAUAGAAUUGAAAUAAAAUCUAAAUUUUAGAAAUCUAAUUUUUUUGUUAUGUUGUUAUGAGUUUAGCUUAGAUUUUAGCACUCUGUGUUUUUGUUGUUGUUUGUCAAAUAAACGUCGAGGCUUGUCAAAUUAUGUUUCCAAAACAUAAAUUGUAGUAUUAAAUCAAUGGCUUUAUACACCAUUUUAUUCGGCGUUAGUUUAUUUUUGAUUGCUCUAGUAAUGGCCAUUAUAAAAAUUGUUUUUCUCCGUUGGAAACAAGAGCAUAAAAUUGAAAGUAUGACCGUCAGUUAUCAUGAGAGACCUGCCGUAGGUAUGAUUAUAACCGCGGAAAAAUGUGUUAUACGGAAACGAAUAUAUAAUAACGAUAUAGAAGUUUACGACGUGAUGAGCAAAAGUGAUAUUCUUUUAGAAAACACGAAUGUUAUUGAACAGUGAUGUGUGUGGAAUGCCUUUGCUUUUGUAAUCAAAAUACAUAAAUGUCAAAAAUGA